UACGUAGGGUGCGAGCGUUAAUCGGAAUUACUGGGCGUAAAGCGUGCGCAGGCGGUUCGUUGUGUCGGUGGUGAAAUCCCCGGGCUUAACCUGGGAAUGGCCAUGGAAACUGGCGAACUGGAGUGCGGCAGAGGGGGGUGGAAUUCCGCGUGUAGCAGUGAAAUGCGUAGAGAUGCGGAGGAACACCGAUGGCGAAGGCAGCCCCCUGGGCUAGCACUGACGCUCAGGCACGAAAGCUAGGGGAGCAAACGGG
rnacentral:rRNA from 1 species